rnacentral:rRNA from 1 species
UAUAAGGUCUAACCUGCCCAAUGAGGAUUUAAAUGGCCGCAGUAUUUUGACUGUGCAAAGGUAGCAUAAUUAUUAGUUUUUUAAUUGAGAACUUGUAUGAAGGGUUGGACGAAAUAAAAACUGUCUUUAUUUAAAUAAAGUUAGAAUUUAACUUUUAAGUUAAAAGGCUUAAAUACUAAUAAUAGACGAGAAGACCCUAUAGAUCUUUAUUUAAUUAAUAUUUUAAUAAUUUAGGAUUAUUUUAAUUUAAAAUUUUAAUUAAAUUUUAUUGGGGUAAUAUAAAGAUUUAAUUAAUUCUUUUUAUUAAUUACAUUAAUUUAUGAAUAAAUGAUCCAAUAUUAUUGAUUAUAAGAUUAAGUUACCUUAGGGAUAACAGCGUAAUUUUUUUGGAGAGCUCAUAUCGAUAAAAAAGUUUGCGACCUCGAUGUUGGAUUAAAAAUUAGCUUGGGUGCAGAAGCUCAAGAUUUUGGUCUGUUCGACCAUUAAAUUUUUACAUGAUCUGAGUUCAGACCGGCGUAAGCCAGGUCGGUUUCUAUCUUUAUCUAAUUAAAAUAUUUUAGUACGAAAGGACCAGAUAUUUAAUAUAAUAAUAUUUAUUUUUUGAACAAUAUUAUUACUUUGGCAGAUUAGUGCAAUGAAUUUAGAAUUCAUAAAUGUAAUUAUAUUACAAGUAAUACUUGUAUUUGGGAGAUUUAUUAUUAAUAGUUUUAUGCAUAUUAAUUCUUGUAAUUUGUGUAUUAGUAGGUGUGGCAUUUUUAACUUURNUAGAACGGAGGGUACUGGGAUAUAUUCAAAUUCGA